UACAGGGGGGGCAAACGUUGCUCGGAAUCAUUGGGCGUAAAGCGCACGUAGGCGGUUCGUUAUGUCGGGUGUGAAAGCCCUUGGCUUGACCGAGGAAGUGCAUCCGAAACUGGCGAGCUAGAGUACUAAAGAGGAUCGCGGAAUUCCCGGUGUAGAGGUGAAAUUCGUAGAUAUCGGGAGGAACACCGGUGGCGAAGGCGGCGAUCUGGGUAGAUACUGACGCUGAGGUGCGAAAGCGUGGGGAGCAAACAGG
rnacentral:rRNA from 1 species